GACGCAUCACUGGUGUUCGGGUUGUCAUGCCAAUGGCACUGCCCGGUAGCUAAAUGCGGAAGAGAUAAGUGCUGAAAGCAUCUAAGCACGAAACUUGCCCCGAGAUGAGUUCUCCCUGACUCCUUGAGAGUCCUGAAGGAACGUUGAAGACGACGACGUUGAUAGGCCGGGUGUGUAAGCGCAGCGAUGCGUUGAGCUAACCGGUACUAAUGAACCGUGAGGCUUAACCUU
rnacentral:rRNA from 3 species